rnacentral:rRNA from 1 species
GCAAGUCGAGCGGUAACAGAGAGAAGCUUGCUUCUUUGCUGACAAGCGGCGGACGGGUGAGUAACGCGUAGGAAUCUACCUAAUAGUGGGGGAUAGCCCAGGGAAACUUGGAUUAAUACCGCAUACGCCCUACGGGGGAAAGCGGGGGAUCUUCGGACCUUGUGCUAUUAGAUGAGCCUGCGUCGGAUUAGCUUGUUGGUAGGGUAAUGGCCUACCAAGGCAACGAUCCGUAGCUGGUCUGAGAGGAUGAUC